GAUGAACGCUAGCUACAGGCUUAACACAUGCAAGUCGAGGGGAAACGGCAUCGAAAGCUUGCUUUUGAUGGGCGUCGACCGGCGCACGGGUGAGUAACGCGUAUCCAACCUGCCCAUCACUUGGGAAUAACCUUGCGAAAGUAAGACUAAUGCCCAAUGACAUCCCACGAAGGCAUCCGAAUGGGAUUAAAGAUUUAUCGGUGAUGGAUGGGGAUGCGUCUGAUUAGCUUGUUGGCGGGGUGACGGCCCACCAAGGCAACGAUCAGUAGGGGUUCUGAGAGGAAGGUCCCCCACAUUGGAACUGAGACACGGUCCAAACUCCUACGGGAGGCGGCAGUGAGGAAUAUUGGUCAAUGGGCGAGAGCCUGAACCAGCCAAGUAGCGUGCAGGAUGACGGCCCUAUGGGUUGUAAACUGCUUUUAUAAGGGAAUAAAGUGGGUCACGUGUGACUUUUUGCAUGUACCUUAUGAAUAAGGACCGGCUAAUUCCGUG
rnacentral:rRNA from 1 species